GGAUGUGAUCAUACCAGCACUAAAGCAACGGAUCCCAUCAGAACUUUGAAGUUAAGCGUGCUUGGGCGAGAUUACUACUACGAUGGAGGAUGGGUAACCUCCUGGGAAGUCCUCGUGUUGCNNNNN
rnacentral:rRNA from 1 species